rnacentral:lncRNA from 1 species
UUGCUAUUUCAGGUUCUUUUCAAAUUUUCAUUCAAUAGAAGCCUAACUACUUAAAUACAUCCAAUAGUUGGUCAUUAGUCUUUAAAAUAUAGAUCCAAAGUUUUUUUAGCAGUCAUUAAAUAAAAGUGACAAAAGUUAAGUGCACCACCCUAAGGUUUUGUCUUCUCCAAACCAUACAAAUCGGAAUGCACCAGCACAAGCAACUCUGUCUUUCUUGAAGGAGGAUGAAACUUGAAAGAAACUCUAUUUUAUUUCAGUGAAGAAGUUCUCAAAUUUUUCUAAUUUAGUAGUCUCAAAAUGUAACCAAAAAUUCUUAUUGACCAAAAUAUUAAAUCCUUUCUCACUAAUAUGGAUAAGCCUCUUAUUCCAAUGUUGAAGAGGUAUCACUCUAAACUGAGUUCAUCAUAUUAACCCGUGCUGAAGCCAUAGUCUAGUAUAGACCACAAUAUCUAUUUUAUGAAGAACAUCUUGUUAUUUUCAGUCUUUCAAGCAUAUAAACUUUUAAGAUGCUCCCAUAGGGUACAAACAUGUGUCUCCUUAAAAAAUAUGAUUCAAUGCAUUAUCAUCAACUCAUUGUAUAAUAAAUUUAUAAAUUUGUCUAUGCAAUAGAGUUCAUUCUUCAUCUAUUUUAUUUUCAAGCUUUGUAGUGGCAAAGACUAGUUGAUGAAAGUUCACGACAUAGAGAAAAUCUUUCAUUUUUUCUUUUAAAUGACAUAAUUAAUGUCAUUCAAAGUAACCAUUCUACUUG